AUGGAUUUCCUCUUCCGAACAGAUGAGAGUGCGGUGCUGAGUGACUCGGUCCGGUCCAAUGAACCCGAGGUGUCCGGGUCAGAAGGAGGCUCCGUGACGCUCAGCUGUUCUUAUGAAACCAGCUACACUGGUGGUGUCUAUCUCUACUGGUACCAUCAGUAUCUCAACCGAGCCCCGCAGUACAUCCUCCGGAGAGGAGCAAAAGGGAGCACGUUCAGUGAUACCGCAGGUUUCGCCCAGCAGAGGUUUUCUUCCCAGGCUGAUGACAGCGCCACAUUUCUGAACAUCACAUCCCUGGAACUGGCAGACACCGCGGUGUAUUACUGCGCCCUACGACUGGCACAGUGA